rnacentral:tRNA from 1 species
CUGGAAAACAGCAAUCCAAUUUGAACGCUCACACUUAUCGGUUGUGGAAGGAUCGUCGCCAGCGGCCUGGGUUUGCCUGGUCACUCCGCGGCCGGCUUGGGUCUGUAGCUCAGUUGGUUAGAGCACCGUCUUGAUAAGGCGGGGGUCGUUGGUUCGAGACCAACCAGACCCACCAUCCCUUCUUGGGUUUAUUGGGGGAUUAGCUCAGCUGGGAGAGCACCUGCUUUGCAAGCAGGGGGUCGUCGGUUCGAUCCCGUCAUCCUCCACCAUUUGUUUUGUCAUUCAACACCAAAGCGGCUUCGCGAGAGGCUGUUUUGUUGUUGAUCGGGAUCUCCCGAUCAAUCGGCUGUUCUUUAAAAAUUCAUAGAGUCGAAUCAGCGUUGUCAGAGGAAACUGCACAUUCGUAAAGGUUUAGUGCAGACCGUGCCUCUGAUGACAAUUUUGAUUGCGUCAAAAUGAACUCAAACUUUGUUUGAAUUCAGUAAUGACGAA